rnacentral:lncRNA from 1 species
UUUGAUAGUCCCUCAAAAUUUUGGUCUCAAGUGUGGACAUGUAGGUAUAUGAUCUUUGAAUGGAUAGAACGCUAAUCUGCUGAGGCUCGUACAAAUUUGAUAGGAUUCAGUCUAAUUACCUAAUUACUGAGACUUAUUUUUCCUCAAGACCAGGAGAGAUACCAAUCGUUCUAGACUAUUACUUUAAUAUAACCGGUAAUUUAUAGAACCAAUGUAGACAGUCCAGAAGUAUUUUUUUAAUUACCUAAUUACUGAGACUUAUUUUUCCUCAAGACCAGGAGAGAUACCAAUCGUUCUAGACUAUUACUUUAAUAUAACCGGUAAUUUAUAGAACCAAUGUAGACAGUCCAGAAGUAUUUUUUUAAUUGUGUAACAGUAAUAUAUUGUUGGGUCUUUUUAGUCUGAGAUAUGCAAGUCUAUGUGAAGUUCAUCGCCAUUGGUUCCAAUAGAUGUGC